UACGGAGGAUGCAAGCGUUAUCCGGAAUGAUUGGGCGUAAAGCGUCCGCAGGUGGCAAUGUAAGUCUGCUGUUAAAGAGUCUAGCUCAACUAGAUAAGAGCAGUGGAAACUACAUAGCUAGAGUACGUUCGGGGCAGAGGGAAUUCCUGGUGUAGCGGUGAAAUGCGUAGGGAUCAGGAAGAACACCAGUGGCGAAGGCGCUCUGCUAGGCCGUAACUGACACUGAGGGACGAAAGCUAGGGGAGCGAAUGGG
rnacentral:rRNA from 1 species